UGAUGCCUAUUGGCCGGAAGGAAAGCGUGUGGCGAUGGAGGACCGAUAUCGUGCAGACUUUCCCCGGCCAGACCACCGCUUUCACGACUUCGAUCAUCGAGACCGGGGCCAGUACCAGGACCACGCCAUCGACAGGCGGGAGGGUUCGAGGCCAAUGAUGGGAGACCACCGGGAUGGGCAGGUGAGUAGAGCCCCGAUGCCAAGCCCUGGGGCCACUGUACUGCUGUGCGGGCAUAGCGGACCAUUUCUAGCCAGGCGGCCGCUUGAUCCCAGAGAGGUGGCAACCAAGUCAGCACGUGUGGCGGGUAUGCAAGUGUGGGUUCUGGCCAGCGACUAGAAGUACAAAUAGUCGGACGUGGUGGCUCAUGCCUGUAAUCCCAGCACUUUGGGAAGCUGAGGUGGGUGGAUCACAAGGUCAGGAGUUCAAGACCAGCCUGGCCGACAUGGUGAAACCCUGUCUCUACUAAAAAUACAAAAAAUUAGCCAGGCAUGGUGGCGAGUGCCUGUAGUCCCAGCUACUCGGGAGGCUGAGGCAGGAGAAUCGCUUGAACCCGGGAGGCGGAGGUUGCAGUGAGUCGAGGUCGCACCAUUGCACUCCAGCCUGGGCAACAAGAGCAAGACUCCGUCUC
rnacentral:sRNA from 1 species